GAGAAUUGAAAAGGUGUUUGAUUCCUAAUUGAUACCCUUUCAAUUAAUGUAUGCCAUAUGCGGCUCAACAUUCCACUUCUGUUGCGCUUCUUUUUCACGAUUCAGUCAUAACAAUAAGGAAUGGUAAAACGCUUCAAUUUCUGAGAGAAUGAAAUUAAGGUGUAAAUUUCUCUCCUGAGAUGCAGAAGACGACAACAAAAACAUUUUCAGAAUUUUUCUUCUUCAUCAUCUUCGAUUUUUCAGAAAAGAGCACGAAUUGCACGAAAAAGGUAGGCCAAAACCCUAAUUCUCCAAUUCGUAUUUUUUUACAAGAUUAUUAGUUUUCAUUAUUUUAUCGUCACAACUGAGUUAUGAUUUGACGUUGUUACUUUCUUAUACACUUCUCAAAACUUUUGAAAAAUCAUGGCUUCGAGAUUUUGGACUCAGGGUGUGAGUGAUUUAGAAGAGGAGGAACAAAGUGAUUAUGAUAAGGAAAUUGAAAUUGCAGCAGUUGAAUCUGCUGUAACUCAAGGCAAUAAAAUCACUUAUUACCUUCAGAGUAAUGCUAUUGACAGUGAUGAUGAGGAUGCUCACAAGCGUGUUGUUAAAUCUACAAAAGAUAAGUGAUUUGAUGAGAUGGCUUCUAAGAUAUUGCUAUUUAUAUUUAAUAGAUUCAAAUUGUUUUUGUUGUUCUCCUACGACUUAGAGUCUGUGGGUUUUGUGUAUUAUUCAGUUUCAGUUUAAGCUAAAGUCUAAUAUGACGUUGGGUUCUUUAAGUUUAAUAUUCAGUUUAAGCUAAAGCUAAAGUUUAAUUCAAUGAAAAUAUGAAAUGUGAAAGCUUAAUUUCCUUUUAGAUGAUGGGUUUCGAAGUUUCUUUCCAUUAAAAAUUGGUGAUUUUCCAGUUGAUUUUGUAUUUGGUUCAGGAACGCCUGCUUAUCAAGUGGAAUGAGCUGCCAAUGAGGAUGGAAGAACUCCUAGCGUUUGGAAUACCUUUGCUCAUGCUGGUUCGGUUAUCAAUUCAAUCCUUAUUUUGCUCAUGUUUCAUCUAAUCAUUCAUCCCAUUAAUCAAUUUUAUAAUAUAAUUUGUUGCUGCAAUUUAAGGGUUUGCACAUGGUGGAAAUGGUGAUGUAGUCUGCGACGCGUACCUUUACUACAUAUUAUCCAUACCAAAUCUGAAAUUUUAUGUUUUUUUACAUUUUUGCAAAUGUAUUUAUUUCUCCUCAAAUGGUAGAGACCCGUCAAUCUGAAGGGACUUAGUACUACAACAAUCUCAUCAAUGAACUCAUUGUCGAUGGUUCGAUACAAGUUCUUAUUAUGUUGCAACAUAAAUACAAAAAAGUUAUAUGAAUUAUAUUUAUGCUAUGUGAAUUAUUUUUUCAUUGUUUGAGGUAAGAUAUGAUGAAGAUGUUAGGAAAUAAUUUGGCGUCUUCCAUUUGUUUUAUAAAUUGCCUAAUGCAAUUGUUAUUGAUGAUUUCAGAGAUUUCUGCGACAACAAGUAAUUUAUUUGGUUUUAACAUAUUAUGAAUUCCAUAAACAUGUUUUCUUUGUUUUCUAAUUCUUCUUUUGGUUUUGAAUUCUGAUAUGUAAAUGGUAUGUCAAAAACGGUAUUCUAAGGCCUGCAGGCGAGAGGACAAAAAAGAACCACUACUAUGAUCUUCGUCAACAGGAGCCCUUGGAAGCUUGAACGACGAUAGUUCAUCUUAAGUAGAUAUGAUACGUUGGUGUUUAAAGGGAAAGGCGUUUGUGACGUUCAGCUUAACACUGCAGAGGCAGAGGGAGAUCAGAAUUAGCAAAGUGAUGCAAAAGGUUGACACAUAUUUUUUCGAAUUCUCGAGGUCUUUGAGGACUAUGGAUCAUCUGCAACAGGAUGUGCAAUUUACCCUUGGUGGGUUAAGCAAGAUGUGCGUCGCAUUCUGGUAUCCAAUAGAAGGCCAACCAUAGCACGCUUUGGGACAUUAUUCGAUUAACUGUGAUAAGGUUACAAUUGAUAUAUUGAGCAGUUCCGCUUCUUUGAGUGGCAAGUUAGUAGGUACAACUUCAAGUAGUUCAUGGAAUAUUGCAAGUGCAUUUUCACUUAUACUUUCUGUAGUAGCAAUAUGUGUGUCUCUGUUUGUGAAUUAUAGAGUUUUGCAUCCCAAGGGUGUUCUGUUUAUGAGUUAACAGCUUGAGUUUGGGAUUGUACUUGUACUAAACAGGUUUGUAGUACUAAAAUGUUUAGUGAUUUCACUUGGUUUA